rnacentral:sRNA from 1 species
CUGCAAUGUUUCCGGCGGCAGGGUGCUG